GUCUAUGACCUUAUCAUCCAGAACACACCCAAUCUUGUCUGAUCUGACUGAUCUGAUCUCAGAAGCUAAGCAGGGUUGGGCCUGGUUAGUACUUGGAAGGAAGAUAGCAAACCUUAGAAU
rnacentral:rRNA from 1 species